rnacentral:rRNA from 1 species
ACAGCAGCAGCCACGGUAACACGUAGGGUGCGAGCGUUAAUCGGAAUUACUGGGCGUAAAGCGUGCGCAGGCGGUUGUGUAAGACAGGUGUGAAAUCCCCGGGCUUAACCUGGGAACUGCGCUUGUGACUGCACAGCUAGAGUAUGGCAGAGGGGGGUGGAAUUCCACGUGUAGCAGUGAAAUGCGUAGAGAUGUGGAGGAACACCGGUGGCGAAGGCAGCCCCCUGGGCCAAUACUGACGCUCAUGCACGAAAGCGUGGGGAGCAAACAGGAUUAGAUACCCCGUAGUCCCUGUCUCUUAUACA